rnacentral:rRNA from 1 species
UAGGGAAUCUUCGGCAAUGGGGGCAACCCUGACCGAGCAACGCCGCGUGAGUGAAGAAGGUUUUCGGAUCGUAAAGCUCUGUUGUAAGAGAAGAACGUGUGUGAGAGUGUAAAGUUCACACAGUGACGGUAACUUACCAGAAAGGGACGGCUAACUACGUGCCAGCAGCCGCGGUAAUACGUAGGUCCCGAGCGUUGUCCGGAUUUAUUGGGCGUAAAGCGAGCGCAGGCGGUUUAAUAAGUCUGAAGUUAAAGGCAGUGGCUUAACCAUUGUUCGCUUUGGAAACUGUUAAACUUGAGUGCAGAAGGGGAGAGUGGAAUUCCAUGUGUAGCGGUGAAAUGCGUAGAUAUAUGGAGGAACACCGGUGGCGAAAGCGGCUCUCUGGUCUGUAACUGACGCUGAGGCUCGAAAGCGUGGGGAGCAAACAGG